CAGUAGCCGCGGGAAUACGUAGGUGGCGAGCGUUGUCCGGAAUUAUUGGGCGUAAAGGGAGCGCAGGCGGACAUAUAAGUCCAUCUUAAAAGUGCGGGGCUCAACCCCGUGAGGGGAUGGAAACUGUAUGCCUUGAGUGCAGGAGAGGAAAGCGGAAUUCCCAGUGUAGCGGUGAAAUGCGUAGAUAUUGGGAGGAACACCGGUGGCGAAGGCGGCUUUCUGGACUGCAACUGACGCUGAGGCUCGAAAGCCAGGGGAGCGAACGGGAUUAGAUACCCCAGUAGUCCCUGUCUCUUAUACA
rnacentral:rRNA from 1 species